rnacentral:rRNA from 1 species
CCACCUACGGGGGGCAGCAGUGAGGAAUAUUGGUCAAUGGGCGGAAGCCUGAACCAGCCAAGUCGCGUGAGGGAAUAAGGCCCUACGGGUCGUAAACCUCUUUUGCCGGGGAGCAAGGGCGGGGACGUGUCCCGGCCCGGAGAGUACCCGGAGAAAAAGCAUCGGCUAACUCCGUGCCAGCAGCCGCGGUAAUACGGAGGAUGCGAGCGUUAUCCGGAUUUACUGGGUGUAAAGGGCGUGUAGGCGGGACUGCAAG